rnacentral:rRNA from 1 species
GAUGAACGCUGGCGGCGUGCUUAACACAUGCAAGUCGAACGAUGAAGCCCAGCUUGCUGGGUGGAUUAGUGGCGAACGGGUGAGUAACACGUGAGUAACCUGCCCUUAACUCUGGGAUAAGCCUGGGAAACUGGGUCUAAUACCGGAUAGGAGCGCCUACCGCAUGGUGGGGGUUGGAAAGAUUUAUCGGUUUUGGAUGGACUCGCGGCCUAUCAGCUUGUUGGUGAGGUAAUGGCUCACCAAGGCGACGACGGGUAGCCGGCCUGAGAGGGUGACCGGCCACACUGGGACUGAGACACGGCCCAGACUCCUACGGGAGGCAGCAGUGGGGAAUAUUGCACAAUGGGCGAAAGCCUGAUGCAGCGACGCCGCGUGAGGGAUGACGGCCUUCGGGUUGUAAACCUCUUUCAGUAGGGAAGAAGCGAAAGUGACGGUACCUGCAGAAGAAGCACCGGCUAACUACGUG